UUGGGUUUAAAGGGUCCGUAGGCGGAUUAAUAAGUCAGUGGUGAAAUCCCAUCGCUUAACGAUGGAACUGCCAUUGAUACUGUUAGUCUUGAAUGAGGGUGCAGUGGUUGGAAUGUGUAGUGUAGCGGUGAAAAUGCAUAGAUAUUACACAGAACACCGAUUGCGAAGGCAGAUCACUAACCCUAAGUUGACGCUGAGGGACGAAAGCGUGGGGAGCGAACAGGAUUAGAUACCCUGGUAG
rnacentral:rRNA from 1 species